CUUUAUAUUACUAUAAAGGGCUAGACUAUAUCUUAAUUUCUAUUAAAGAAACCACUACCAUAUAGUCGUUGAACUCAUCACAAUGUAAUGUGGUUGGCUGCUGAUUUUUCAUAUAAAUUCAUAUUUUAACUAUUUAAGAGUAAUGAAUUAGCAGAAAUUUCCAGCAAUUUGGUAAUGUCGCCAAUGUAAUUAUUGACUAACAUAAAGAUGUUCUUUAGCUCUAAUUUUUAAAGCCACCGA
rnacentral:ncRNA from 1 species